rnacentral:rRNA from 1 species
CGGCCUAUCAGCUUGUUGGUGAGGGUACGGCUCACCAAGGCAUUGACGGGUAGCUGGUCUGAGAGGACGAUCAGCCACACUGGGACUGAGACACGGCCCAGACUCCUGCGGGAGGCAGCAGUGGGGAAUCUUGCGCAAUGGGCGAAAGCCUGACCCAGCAACGCCGCGUGGGGGAUGAAGGUUCUCGGGUUGUAAACCCCUUUCAGCAGGGACGAAAUUGACGGUACCUGCAGAAGAAGCCCCGGCCAACUACGUGCCAGCAGCUGCGGUAACACGUAGGGGGCGAGCGUUGUCCGGAAUUAUUGGGCGUAAAGAGCUCGUAGGCGGUUUGGUAAGUCAGAUGUGAAAGGUUGGGGCUCAACCCUAAGAUUGCAUCCGAUACUGCUAUGACUAGAGUCCGGUAGAGGAGUGUGGAAUUCCUGGUGUACCGGUGGAAUGCGCAGAUAUCAGGAGGAACACCGACGGCGAAGGCAGCACUCUGGGCCGGUACUGACCCUGAGGAGCGAAAGCGUGGGUAGCAAACAGGAUUAGAUACCCUGGUAGUC